GACGAACGCUGGCGGCGUGCCUAAUACAUGCAAGUCGAACGCAGUGGGGACGGGUGAGUAACACGUGGGUAACCUCCCAUCAGAGGGGAUAACACUUGGAAACAGGUGCUAAACCGCUACUGAUGGAUGUACUCGCGGUGCAUUAGCUAGUUGGUGGGGUAACGGCUCACCAAGGCCACGAUGCAUAGCGGGUCUGAGAGGAUGAUCAGCCACACUGGAACUGAGACACGGCCCAGACUCCUACGGGAGGCAGCAGUGGGGAAUCUUGGGCAAUGGGCGAAAGUCUGACCGAGCAACGCCGCGUGUAUGAAGAAGGUUUUCGGGUCGUAAAGCACUUUUGUUAGAGAAGCGUUAUCUAACCAGAAAGCCACGGCUAACUACGUGCCAGCAGCCGCGGUAAUAC
rnacentral:rRNA from 1 species